GACGAAGGAUCCAAGCGUUAUCCGGAUUCAUUGGGUUUAAAGGGUGCGUAGGCGGCCCGGUAAGUCAGUGGUGAAAUCUCCUUGCUUAACAAGGAAACUGCCAUUGAUACUGCUGGGCUUGAGUACAGAUGCUGUGGGCGGAAUAUGACAUGUAGUGGUGAAAUACAUAGAGAUGUCAUAGAACACCGAUUGCGAAGGCAGCUCACAAAACUGUAACUGACGCUGAGGCACGAAAGUGCGGGGAUCAAACAGG
rnacentral:rRNA from 1 species